GACGAACGCUGGCGGCGUGCCUAAUACAUGCAAGUAGAACGCACAGUUUAUACCGUAGCUUGCUACACCAUAGACUGUGAGUUGCGAACGGGUGAGUAACGCGUAGGUAACCUGCCUGGUAGCGGGGGAUAACUAUUGGAAACGAUAGCUAAUACCGCAUAAUAUUAAUUAUUGCAUGAUAAUUAAUUGAAAGGUGCAAUUGCACCACUACCAGAUGGACCUGCGUUGUAUUAGCUAGUAGGUGAGGUAACGGCUCACCUAGGCGACGAUACAUAGCCGACCUGAGAGGGUGAUCGGCCACACUGGGACUGAGGCACGGCCCAGACGCCUACGGGAGGCAGCAGUAGGGAAUCUUCGGCAAUGGACGAAAGUCUGACCGAGCAACGCCGCGUGAGUGAAGAAGGUUUUCGGAUCGUAAAGCUCUGUUGUAAGAGAAGAACGGGUGUGAGAGUGGAAAGUUCACACUGUGACGGUAUCUUACCAGAAAGGGACGGCUAACUACGUG
rnacentral:rRNA from 1 species